GUCAAACUACAAUAAAAUUAAUUCCUGCGUGUUUUCAACAAGUUUUGAACACUUAAAGAGGUAUUUAUAUAGUUUUGGAUACAUUUACAAGGUUUAGAGACUCAACAUAAACUGGAUACUGGGGUAAUUAUUAUGAUUGCAACUUACGGAAACGACGUUUUUGAUGAUGGCCUUGUCGAUGGACAUCUUGGCGCGCUUCAACACGCUCACACCAGGGCCGAUCCAUGUGACAAAGAGGAACUUGGAGCGUUUCGACAGUUCGUCGCCGGUUUGCAACCGGAUGUAACCAUACGCACGCUCGUCAUCAUCGAAUAACUUCUUGAAUUCAUCGAAGGCAACACCUUUUGCUGCGCAGACAAUUCUACUGGCUUCGUAUUUAAAUACGGCCCUGGAAAUUAAGUAAAAAUUAAUCAAUGUCUCUUAAAACUUAAUUAAUUGCUUUGGUUACCA